GUGCUCACUUCAGCAGCACGCAUACUGAACUUGGAAGGAUACAGAGUAGAUUUACAUGGACCCUGCACGAGGAUGACAUGCAAAAUCAAGAAUCAUUGUGUACUUUC
rnacentral:snRNA from 1 species